GCGCCCGUAGCUCAGUUGGUAGAGCGCUGGAACGGUUAUCCACCGUCCCGGGUUCAAGUCCCGGCGGUUGCU